rnacentral:rRNA from 1 species
AUUGAACGCUAGCGGGAUGCUUUACACAUGCAAGUCGAACGAGCGGCGGACGGGGGAGUAAUGUAUGGGGACUGCCCGAUAGAGGGGGAUAACUACUGGAAACGGUAGCUAAUACCGCAUACUAUCGGAUAACCCAUAUGGGAUUAGCUAGUGGGUGAGGUAAUGGCUCACCUAGGCGACGAUCCCUAGCUGGUCUGAGAGGAUGAUCAGCCACACUGGGACUGAGACACGGCCCAGACUCCUCCGGAGGCAGCAGUGGGGAAUAUUGCACAAUGGGCGCAAGCCUGAUGCAGCCAUGCCGCGUGGAUGAAGAAGGCCCUAGGGUUGUAAAGUGCUUUCAUUCGGGAGGCGUUACCUACAGAAGAAGCACCGGCUAACUCCGUGCCAGCAGCCGCGGUAAUUC